GUAGGUGGCAAGCGUUGUCCGGAAUUAUUGGGCGUAAAGCGCGCGCAGGCGGGUUCUUUAAGUCUGAUGUGAAAGCCCACGGGCUCAACCGUGGAGGGUCAUUGGAAACUGGAGAACUUGAGUACAGAAGAGGAAAGCGGAAUUCCACGUGUAGCGGUGAAAUGCGUAGAGAUGUGGAGGAACACCAGUGGCGAAGGCGGCUUUCUGGUCUGUAACUGACGCUGAGGCGCGAAAGCGUGGGGAGCAAACAGGAUUAGAUACCCUGGUAGUCCACGCCGUAAACGAUGAGUGCUAAGUGUUAGGGGGGUUUCCGCCCCUUAGUGCUGCAGCUAACGCAUUAAGCACUCCGCCUGGGGAGUACGACCGCAAGGUUG
rnacentral:rRNA from 1 species